UUAUAUUAUUGUUGUUGGUUUUCCAACUACGACGAUAAACGAAUUUCGUAAUAAACAUUGCGGACGUGGGGGCAGUACCCACCACCUCCACCAUUUUCAACUUACGGGGGGGAAUUAGGAUCGACGAGUGUCUAAAAGCUAUUCUUUCGUUCGGUAUUGUUCCACCGCAAAGGACAGUUUUAUAAAUGCAAAUAAUAAAUUUGCACUUGCAGCUUAAUUAUUUAUUUAAUUAGGUUACGGGGUUUGGGGCACCUGGCAACAGAACGCCCCCUUA
rnacentral:tmRNA from 1 species